rnacentral:rRNA from 1 species
GCUCGUAGUUGGAUUUCGGUUGAGAGCGGCCGGUCCGCCGUUUGGUGUGCACUGGCUGGUCUCAGCUUCCUGCGGAGGACGCACUCUGGGGCUAACGCUUCGGAUGUGGAGUCCGCGUGGUUACUUUGAAAAAAUUAGAGUGUUCAAAGCGGGCUUACGCUUGAAUAUUUCAGCAUGGAAUAACACUAUAGGACUCCUGUCCUAUUUCGUUGGUCUCGGGACGGGAGUAAUGAUUAAGAGGAACAGUUGGGGGCAUUCGUAUGUAGUUGCUAGAGGUGAAAUUCUUGGAUUUCCUGCAGACGAACUUCUGCGAAAGCAUUUGCCAAGGAUGUUUUCAUUAAUCAAGAACGAAAGUUGGGGGCUCGAAGAUGAUUAGAUACCAUCCUAGUCUCAACCAUAAACGAUGCCGACUAGGGAUUAGCGGAUGUUAAUUGAUGACUUCGCUAGCACCUUAUGAGAAAUCAAAGUUUUUGGGUUCCGGGGGGAGUAUGGUCGCAAGGCUGAAACUUAAAGGAAUUGACGGAAGGGCACCACCAGGCGUGGAGCCUGCGGCUUAAUUUGACUCAACACGGGGAAACUUACCAGG